rnacentral:sRNA from 1 species
GGAGCAGAGACCAAAGGAAGGUUCAUCUGGGGACUGCCCCAGUGGGGGAUCCAUCUUGUCUGCAGACACCAAAUAGGACACUAUGAUCAAGCAGCACUGGCUGACAGGAACCUGGUAUGGCUGCUCCUUUGGAGGCUCAGCCAACAACUGACCAAUGCAGAUGUGAAAGCUUGAAGCCAACCAGCAGACUGAGAGACCCUGGUGGAGGAGCUGUCAGAAGGCCUGGAGAAGCAGAGGGGGAUUGCGACCCCAUAUGAAGAACAGCAUUGGCUGUCUGGACCACCUAGUGCUUGCAGUUCUGCAAUGUAACACGAGGAGAGCAGGUCUCUCAAGGAGUAAUUACUCACACUUCAGAGUGAAGCCUUGCAUUUAUGGAUAACUGUCACCAUAUGGAGAUUGCUUUUAUGUGAGUCUCUGCUGUCCUGAAAUUCAAGGUGACAACAAGUUUAGAAUAAUGACUUUUCAUUCUGCCUUCAGCCUUGGGGAAGGAAAUAAUGUAUAAGAUGCUGUACUUCUCUAUAAGUUUGAUUAGCAAGCGACAUCGCCUGGGAAAGAACCCCUAAAACCAGCUCUCACUGUGCGUUUAACUUCUCAGCUCCUGGCCAACUCCCCAUUAUGACACUGUCACUGAAGAAUCUGUUUCCAGAAACAACUUGAAGGAAACAUUUAUUUGGGAUCAUACUUCAAGGUGAAAGGUGAAGUCCAUCCUGGCACAGAGUUGAGCCAGCAGAACCUUGAAGUAACUGAUUACAUUAGGGCCAUAGUCAGGAAGAAGAGAGCAAUAAAUACUGUGAAAAGGCAAUGCUUUCCUCCAGAGAAAGUCCAACAUCACAUCCCAGGAAAUGGUGCCACCCACAACGGGAUGUCUUCUUAUAUCAAUUAAUCAAGACCAUCCUUCACAGGUAUUCCCAUGGCUAAUAUAACCUGCAUAAUUAUCUCUUGUAGGUAUGUUCAGAGACUUCUUUGCUAAGAAAUUCUAGAUCUUUAGUUUUUAUUAAUUAUUCCAUUUGUUUACAUCUCAAAUGAUAUCCCACUUCCUGGUUACCACUCCACCGACGCCCCCAUCCCACAUCUGCCCUUUCACCUCCCCUUUGCCUAUACGAGGGUGCUUCCUGGCCCACCCAUAC